rnacentral:rRNA from 1 species
ACGGAGGGGACUAGCGUUGUUCGGAUUUACUGGGCGUAAAGGGCGCGUAGGCGGUCUGUUAAGUUAGAAGUGAAAGCCUGGGGCUUAACCCCAGAACUGCUUCUAAAACUGGCAAACUAGAGUACGGGAGAGGAUAGUGGAAUUCCUAGUGUAGAGGUGAAAUUCUUAGAUAUUAGGAGGAACACCGGUGGCGAAAGCGACUAUCUGGAACGUUACUGACGCUGAGGCGCGAAAGCGUGGGGAGCAAACAGG